AGGGCGAAGGGGAGGCAGCCCACCUGGACAUGUGCUCCCUUUGGGGCCGGUGCGCUUUCUCCAGCCCCAGCUUGGUGAAGAUGCCCACGAGCACCAUGACGGCCACCACCCCGCAGAUGAUGUAGACGAUCAGGGGGCUUUUGCAUCUACUACCAUGCACGGGUGAAGUUUUAUAGGAAGACAACUGCUGGAGGCUGCUGGAGCAAAUUUGCCUGGAUACCCAGGUUUCACCAUGUUGCCCAGCCUGGUCUCGAACUUCUGGACUCAAGUGAUCUGCCCACCUCAGCCUGCCAACAUGCCGAGAUUACAGGAUUGAGCCACUGCACCCAGCCACAGGCAAUUAUUCUCAUAAGCUAAAACUAGAAACAAAAAGUACAAAGAUCAUUGAUCCAAGACCAGCUGUGGAAAGGUCUAGCUCCACAUUUUCACAAAACAGAAAGAUUCCAAUCAUAGCUGAUAUAAUGACAGUUUCUAACAACUUGAACUAUAAUAUUUACUACUCAGACUCUGUAACCUACUAAAGAUUCUGUUUAUUGAAACAUAUAUUACCUUCUCUUGCUCACAUGUAUAAGGCCAGUAGGUUUUAUUUGAGAAAUUAAUUAAGUUCUCCUAGCUACAGUUUUCCUUGGAAUUAACACCUGGAAUGAAAAUCAAUGAAGACUAGGUGGAUUCUUUUAUUUCUUGCCUCUAUCUGCCCAUGUUAAGAAUAGAAUUGCUAUUGUCUUCGAUCCAAAAUCAUUCUGCAAGUCUAGAGGGACGUAUCUUAUUCUUUUUUGGGACCUCUUGUUCUGGGGAUUACAUGAGGUAAGUACAGA